CUUCUGACGAGUCCCAAAUAGGACGAAACACGCGUCAAAC
rnacentral:hammerhead_ribozyme from 1 species